UACGUAGGCAGCGAGCGUUGUUCGGAGUUACUGGGCGUAAAGGGUGUGUAGGCGGUUUUCUAAGUUUGGUGUGAAAUCUCCCGGCUCAACCGGGAGGGUGCGCCGAAAACUGGGAGACUAGAGUGCGGGAUGGGAGAGUAGAAUUCCUGGUGUAGCGGUGAAAUGCGUAGAGAUCAGGAAGAACACCGGUGGCGAAAGCGCUCUGCUGGACCUUAACUGACACUGAGGGACGAAAGCUAGGGGAGCGAAUGGG
rnacentral:rRNA from 1 species